UACGUAGGGUGCGAGCGUUGUCCGGAAUUAUUGGGCGUAAAGAGCUUGUAGGUGGUUUGUCGCGUCUGCUGUGAAAACUCAGGGCUUAACCCUGAGCUUGCAGUGGGUACGGGCAGACUAGAGUGCGGUAGGGGAGACUGGAAUUCCUGGUGUAGCGGUGAAAUGCGCAGAUAUCAGGAGGAACACCGGUGGCGAAGGCGGGUCUCUGGGCCGACAUUGACGCUGAGGAGCGAAAGCGUGGGGAGCGAACAGG
rnacentral:rRNA from 1 species